UAUGUAACGGUUUAUUACACACACACCCUCAUUCUCAGUUUGCUAAUCCCUAAGUAGUAAUUGCUGCUCAUGCUCACGCUCUUCUGAAGUUUCUCAGCUCAAUGGACGUCUGAAUUCACUGGAGAACAACAGUACCAGGGAGAGAAUCAUCCAUCAAUCCAACUGCAGCACUGGCCUAAAAGAUUUCCAGUUCCAGUUGAAACAAUUUGUGUGUGAAUCAUCUCACAGCAACUCAGCAGAGGGAGCAGGGUGCAAGCUCUGCCCCCCAAACUGGCUGCUGCACAGGGACAAGUGCUACUGGGUGUCUAAAGAAAAAAAUCCCUGGGACAAGAGCCGCGAUGACUGUUCAAGGAGGAGCUCUCGGCUGCUGGUGAUCCGGGACCAGGAUGAGAUGACUUUCAUUCAAAAUACUACCAAAGACACAAACCAGCUCUGGCUUGGACUCACUGUUACAUCCCCCGCGAGGAAUUGCACUUGGGUGGACGGCUCCAUGUUCAAUCCAACACUGUGAGUGUUUUUAUCCUCUCAGUCCAUGUAAGAUGUGCAGCAGGGGGCACAGGCUACGUAUGGGCGCAAGGGAUGUUAAGUGCUGGCACAGUCCUCUGCACAGAGAGACGAGUCCUGAGCCUCAUUCGAUGGCUUCCACAGCAGUUGGGCUAAUCCUGAGGG